AAGAGUCUGGCUAUUAUGCUAUUAAUAGCACGAAACACUUGGUGCUACCAAGUUUUCCGCCUUUAGAUCUAACCUUUUGAUCAUUUUCUCCCGUUAGAUCAUACUAUUCAACUAACCACCCACUCAACCCUAGGGGGCCCACAUCAUCCUAACCACACAUCUCUUAAUCCAAUAGCCACUUGGUAGCACCAAUGACUUGGUGCUAUUAAUAGUAUAUUAGCCUAGUUCUAUUUUAUAAUAUA
rnacentral:lncRNA from 1 species